GACGAACGCUGGCGGCGUGCUUAACACAUGCAAGUCGAACGAAGUGGCGAACGGGUGAGUAACGCGUAAUAAACCUGCCCUUCAGAGGGGUAAAACAUUUGAAAACGACUGCUAAUACCGCAUACUGAUGGCGGGGAUUGCGUCGGAUUAGCUAGUUGGAGGGGUAACGGCCCACCAAGGCGAUGAUCAGUAGCCGGUCUGGGAGGAUGAACGGCCACAUUGGGACUGAGACACGGCCCAGACGCCUACGGGAGGCAGCAGUGGGGAAUCUUCCGCAAUGGACGAAAGUCUGACGGAGCAACGCCGCGGGAGUGAUGACGGCCUUCGGGUUGUAAAGCUCUGUUAAUCGGGACGCGGUACCGGAAUAGAAAGCCACGGCUAACUACGUGCCAGCAGCCGCGGUAAUAC
rnacentral:rRNA from 1 species